rnacentral:tRNA from 1 species
GGUCGAGUGGCGCAAUGGUAGCGUGUGGUCCUCCUACAAUUACUGGGAGAACAGACUGAGGUUGUGGGUUCGAGUCCCAUCUCGAUCG